CGCGGGGUGGAGCAGCUCGGAGCUCGCUGGGCUCAUAACCCAGAGGUCGCAGGUUCAAAUCCUGUCCCCGCUA
rnacentral:tRNA from 1 species